AUGGCGUCGUAUCAUCAUUUAUUACGCGAAAAAACACCACGGUUUGAAUCUCCCGCUAAGGUGUUCGCCAAACUCAAGUCGAAGGUGCAGAGAGAAGAGACCGAGGAGGAGACUUUUAGAGGCAACGACCCGCGCUGCAACAACAGGGACAAACACGUAACUGUUUUUAUGUCACCGACGAAGCGAGCAGAGAGCACCUGGAUCACCGAGGAGUUUAAGGAGAAUCGCAGGUGUGCUUCCUAUCGCGAUGAAGCCCAGGCCUUGACGCUCUCGCCUAUAUCGAGUCCUCAGAAAACCCCCCGGCAUUCAGAAAUGAUCAGCAAGCAAGUGGAGGAAAUGCGUCCGGUUAUAGGAACCGGUCAUGAAUGCACACCGAGGAAGAGGGCUUUCCUCGAGUCGACAGCAGUGUCGAGCAGAGGGGCCUCUGCUGCCGUCAACAGAGCAGAGCAGAUCCACACGCAGGCGCCUCACAUCGGAGACCCGGGUGCCUUCAAGGUAACCAGCAGGACUCCAGUAAAGGUGCAGCCAGAGGACGGUGACCUUGAAAGCAGCGUGUUUCUGGAAGGGUGUGCUCCUCCUGACAAACUCGGGCCUCCAGCCUUCACGUUCUCGCCCAUGAGAAAGAAGUUAAAGCGAGAUCGGGAGCUGCGGGAGUUGAACAGACUCAUCAGCGAUGAACCCAGAGGUCCGCAACAAGAGAGGAAAACCUCCAGUGCUUCCAAUGGGGGCAACAACGCUUGCACUGAGAGUUUGGGUAAAGUCAGAUGUUUAUCUGCUGACCCAUCCGAGGUGAACCAAUUCACCCAUGAAGCCGUGUUCCCAUCACCGAGAUCCAUCGCAAUGAAACGUUACUACGUUCCUUUGGAAAAACCACUUCCAAUGUCUCCAGCUAAGCUGUUUGCUUACAUGAAGAAGAGGGAAAGUCAAACGAAGCAGGAGAAAGUUGAGAAAGUCAGCAGCAUCACAAGGGAUCUCUUCGAUCCGAGUGAAUUCCAUCAGUGCGGAGACACGUUGUCUCCGUCCACAGUUCACAACACGGGCGAGGCGGAGGACAGCGCUUUAAGAAGGGCUCCAGAAAGUGUGGCUCCUGUUGUCCGGUCCAGAGCCGAGUCAGCUGGCAGCGCAUCGGACACGGAUCCCUCGGAGGAAGGUUUGAGCCAACCUUUACUGCUGGAGGACCCGCUCGUCCUCAACACGCCACAAAUCUCCAUACCAAAGAAGCAGGAGGCUGUGUUCAAGCGAAAUAAAUGGCGCCAGGGCACAAAGUUCCCAAAUGAGAGUGUGAUUUAUCUCGAAAAGUGGUUUCUGAGGAAGAAUCACAAGGGCCUGUUUGUUGAUGGAAUCCACCGCGAGGAAAGGAUACCAUGGAACAGUAACAUCGUUGUGGACAGAGUCUCUAAUAACGUGGUGAAGACUGUCUCCGGCAGGAUUUACGUCCUGGUCAACAGGAUGAAAAUGAGCUCUGACUCAGGGUUACCCAAGUGGCUUUUGAAGAAGUUUGCCAACGGAUUUCCUCCAGACUGGGACGCCCUUUACAAGAGAUUUCUGUCCGGCGCAAGCGACAACUCCAGCAGAAAACCCGAGAGGAACAGUCAGGGAAAAGGCGUCGCGUCAAAGACUAAAUCCGAGGCGUCCUCCAUCGUCGCCGCUGUGAAGCGACAUAGGAACAUUUCUCCAAAGACGCCCGAUCCUCUUCCUGACCCCCCGUCUCGUCUCAACGUGUCCCGAAGUGGUCGCGUGAUCAGGCCACCUCUGGAAUAUUGGAAAGGAGGGAGAGUCAUUCUGGAUGCACACAUGAAUGUGACCAUCCACGAAUGUUAUGAUACCUCCAUCCACAUGCCUGUCUCUAAAACCUCGUCUGCGAGAACAUCACAGAAACCCGUCUGCGUGUUGCUGCCCUGCAGUGAAGGCCGUCAGCAAUGUGAAUCCAACGGCGAGAAAGAAGAGUCGGUGCUACGGAGAAGGGUCAAAGCUCCCUCGCGCAAACACAACGGCGCCCAAGUGAGAGGCGAGAAGAGGCCCUCCUAUUUACCCCAAACCCCCGCGGAGACCCCCCCCGAGCCCUAA
ensembl:lncRNA